AUUGAACGCUGGCGGCAGGCCUAACACAUGCAAGUCGAGCGGUAGCACAGAGAGCUUGCUCUCGGGUGACGAGCGGCGGACGGGUGAGUAAUGUCUGGGAAACUGCCUGAUGGAGGGGAAUAACUACUGGAAACGGUAGCUAAUACCGCAUAACGUCGCAAGACCAAAGUGGGGGAUCUUCGUGCCUCAUGCCCUCAGGCGUGCCCAGAUGGGCUUGGCUAGUAGGUGGGGUAACGGCUCACACAGGCGACGAUCCCUAGCUGGUCUGAGAGGAUGACCAGCCACACUGGAACUGAGACACGGUCCAGACUCCUACGGGAGGCAGCAGUGGGGAAUAUUGCACAAUGGGCGCAAGCCUGAUGCAGCCAUGCCGCGUGUGUGAAGAAGGCCUUCGGGUUGUAAAGCACUUUCAGCGGGGAGGAAGGCGGUGAGGUUAAUAACCUUGUCGAUUGACGUUACCCGCAGAAGAAGCACCGGCUAACUCCGUGCCAGCAGCCGCGGUAAUAC
rnacentral:rRNA from 1 species